rnacentral:rRNA from 1 species
UACGUAGGUGGCAAGCGUUACUCGGAAUCACUAGGCGUAAAGCGCAGGUAGGCGGUGUGGUAAGUCUGUUGUGAAAGCUCCCGGCUCAACUGGGAGAGGCCAACGGAAACUGCCAUGCUAGAGUGUGGUAGAGGAAACUGGAAUUCCUGGUGUAGCGGUGAAAUGCGUAGAUAUCAGGAGGAACACCUAUGGCGAAAGCAGGUUUCUGGGCCAUCACUGACGCUGAGCUGCGAAAGCUGGGGGGAGCAAACAGG